rnacentral:rRNA from 2 species
GCACAUCAGCUCGAGUGAG